UUGAAAUCUUGGGAACCACCGUGCCAGCCGACCACUGUGUUGUUGACUGUGUCAACUGUGCUCGGAACGUUCGGAACCUUUCGGAGCUCGACAAGGUUGCGGUAGGCUCACCUGUCCGUACUAGCCAAAGGGUGGGCUUAAAUCCUCUUUCGUACGUACCUCGUACUCGUUGAAAACCUCGAGAAAAUGGACCACAGGUUGCUACUCGGACGCAUGGAAGGGAAGGCUGCACGACUGAGGCAGUUUGACGAGACGGCCGACCAGGUUGUGCGGAGGAUUGAGCAGACUUCGGCCCUGCUGGAAGAGAGGCUAAAAGACGUGGUCCAGGAGGCCGGAGCAAAGCCAGUGGCUUUGAUCCUGGAGGAAGUACAGGAGGCGGCAAAAAAGGGGGCAUCAGUCCCGUGCUUCGGGUAAGCAUCGCCAGUACUCCAGUCACUGCUUAUAAAUGGUCUAGCGAGGAAGAAUGUUCCUCGCAAAAAUCGCGCGCUGAUCCCCUUGAUGAAGCAAUCACGUACUGGAGCUGUAUGUGUGUGGUGCUGGGGCAAUACCUCAAGGAAGAACCAAAGAAGGCUGGCUCGUGCGUACUGCGGCUUCGUCCCAUCUUUUGUUCUCGCCGCUUGAUGUUGUGUUUCAGUGUGUAGAUGCUAGUCUGACUGCGACAGUAAGCUUGAGCUUUGUGGAUUGAUGCAUGGCCAAUGAUGCGUUGAAUAUGGACCGAGUUUUAAAAUAGGGGCCUGAAAGGCUUAGGGGCCCCUGAAAAGCUCAUCUCUGCACAUAUGCCAAACGUAGGCUGCAUUUUGGGUUUUGGGUUCACUUGUGACGCAAAAUUCGAGAAAUAGCACGGGGGUCUCUAGCGUAAAUUAACACCCACUUUGUGCAAGUGCCCGCUAGUAAACUUUCCCAAGCUUGGGAAUUCUGGAAACCCUCGGAAGCGCCGGCAUGAGCCGAAGAUAUUCAUCCCAAUGUGGCGGCCAUGAAACUGCCAUCGGCGAUGAUGGGGAUAUCCGCUUUCUUGCGACGGAAAGGGACAAACUAGUUGCAACCAGAGCAAGGACCUCCUCCACUGACUUGGGAGAGUGUCCCGUCAUCAUUCAUUGUGCGAAAAUGUGUUUUCUCCGAUGCGCCCUGCCUUCAAAGGCGGCCAUCUCGGCUUUUACCGAUUGGCCCGGGCCCCUGUGUACCCAGUGUUUGGCAAAAGCCCCGAAAUUUUACGCUAACUGCUUGGGUCAGGUCUUCAGGAGCAAAUCCAUCGUGGCCACCGCACUUUUGGCCACGUUUGUCGGCAGUUAUAAGAGGGCAGCAGUCUUUCUCUUCGGGUUACCUCGCUUAAGUCGCGAGCGGUGAUCUUGCCCGACUUUCUCGGUAGUCUUCUGGCAUUCCUCGCCCCGAGAGGCUGCGGUAAUCGCUCGUACGGCAGCACCUCACGAGUCCUAGUGGAUGGCCUUGGCUCGGUCGGCUGGGUGCUUGUGGCAGGAGCAGCCUGCUACGGUGGCCAUGAACAGCUGACAUUUUUUUGGAGAAUGUUGCUCCUUGGCCGUAGUGGCGCGGGAAGGGAGCAUGUUACGGGGCACGACAGGGGUGCGAGCCCCCUUGGAUUAGCUCUAUCUGAAAACUUGCUGAUGUGUGCCCCUCGUGCGGCUUUGGAGUUGUUUCACCUGGUGUGGGCCACCAGAUGUGUCCAGAGUACCGCACUUGGUAUCUUGGGAGCAGAGAAUUCGGUCAGUUUUAUUUCUUUAUUUGGAAACGUCGUGUCUAGACAGAGCUCUAGAAAAUGGCUGAAAAUUUAGGAUUUUUAAAAAUCGCCAAGUUUCAAUAACAAUCCAGGCUCGCAAAAUAUGAUGACUCCAUUCAAUCUCGAGCUUUUCUAUAACCACCAAAUUUUGAGUGUCGAAGAGCUUGAUUUAUUAUAAAUGCCCCUUCACACAUACAGCACAGCACGGCACCAGUGCUUAGGUAGGUUCUAGUCAGUGCUGUUUUCAAGGUGACGUUCCAAGUAUCUUUUUUUUUCUUUCGUGUAGAUGUAAUUGCUUUACUAAAGUUUUUGUAAUAUUCUCAAGAAAGGAUAUGAGUAAACUUGAUAUUGUUAUUUCCUGCAGUAACUGAACUGGAUCUUUCUAAAGUCAAUCAAUAAAAAGUAUAGAGAUACAUAUUACUUGGAGUAAUUAGGAUCCUACGUCUCCAGUCGCCAGUUGCGCUUUUUUCGUGGUAAAUAAAGCCAGUCUACAAACCUAUCUUUAGAGUAUAUGCUGGAACCUUGGAAACACCCUUAUAGAGCUCAAGAUCUCUUGUAACGAGAAUUUGUGCGUAACGACCUGUAAAAAAGGUACUCGGUUAGGAUGCUUUGCUGCAUCUUUGAUUCAAGGGGACAUACCUAAAAUCUGAUGUCGGAAUCAAAAUCAGUAUACCGUAUUUACUCUCAUAAUGAACACAUUUUUUGCUGAAGAAUUGACGCAUAUUUCGGAGUGCGUUCAUUACGCGGUGUAAAA
rnacentral:misc_RNA from 1 species